rnacentral:rRNA from 1 species
GAGGGUUUUGAUCCUGGCUCAGGAUGAACGCUGGCGGCGUGCCUAAUACAUGCAAGUCGAGCGAACGGACGAGAAGCUUGCUUCUCUGAUGUUAGCGGCGGACGGGUGAGUAACACGUGGAUAACCUACCUAUAAGACUGGGAUAACUUCGGGAAACCGGAGCUAAUACCGGAUAAUAUUUUGAACCGCAUGGUUCAAAAGUGAAAGACGGUCUUGCUGUCACUUAUAGAUGGAUCCGCGCUGCAUUAGCUAGUUGGUAAGGUAACGGCUUACCAAGGCAACGAUGCAUAGCCGACCUGAGAGGGUGAUCGGCCACACUGGAACUGAGACACGGUCCAGACUCCUACGGGAGGCAGCAGUAGGGAAUCUUCCGCAAUGGGCGAAAGCCUGACGGAGCAACGCCGCGUGAGUGAUGAAGGUCUUCGGAUCGUAAAACUCUGUUAUUAGGGAAGAACAUAUGUGUAAGUAACUGUGCACAUCUUGACGGUACCUAAUCAGAAAGCCACGGCUAACUACGUGCCAGCAGCCGCGGUAAUACGUAGGUGGCAAGCGUUAUCCGGAAUUAUUGGGCGUAAAGCGCGCGUAGGCGGUUUUUUAAGUCUGAUGUGAAAGCCCACGGCUCAACCGUGGAGGGUCAUUGGAAACUGGAAAACUUGAGUGCAGAAGAGGAAAGUGGAAUUCCAUGUGUAGCGGUGAAAUGCGCAGAGAUAUGGAGGAACACCAGUGGCGAAGGCGACUUUCUGGUCUGUAACUGACGCUGAUGUGCGAAAGCGUGGGGAUCAAACAGGAUUAGAUACCCUGGUAGUCCACGCCGUAAACGAUGAGUGCUAAGUGUUAGGGGGUUUCCGCCCCUUAGUGCUGCAGCUAACGCAUUAAGCACUCCGCCUGGGGAGUACGACCGCAAGGUUGAAACGCAAAGGAAUUGACGGC